GAGGAAGAGCAGGAAAACAGUAAGCACUGCUAAUACUUACUCCCAUGGUUAAACUCCAUGGCUUCCUUA
rnacentral:tRNA from 1 species